rnacentral:lncRNA from 1 species
UCAGUCAUCAACUGAUACCAAUCCCCAUGCCUAUAUUUUGUACUGUUUAAUUAUUUAGUGCUAAAAGAAAAGGAGAAAAUGAAUCUUAGUUAUGUUCGAGUGUGUCCAAUGCAAAUCUUAGUAUUUAAAAAAAUAAAAAAUGGAAAGAACUUGACAAGAAAUGAAAUCAAACUCCCUUCUAGAGACAGAGUCUUUACAAACCAAAGUGGCAUGUAUGAGCUAUGCUUAUGUUUGUUGUGACGCCCCCAAAUUCGGGUACUUGAAACCCUUAUUUAGUGCUUCACGAUAUCAAACAUUCAACAUAUAAUAAACUUAAACUUAGUAGAGUUAUUACAUCAAAGUGCUACUAAUCCCAGGUACGUAGACCUUUAAAUGUUCAUUACAUGAUAGUUUAAUAUUUACAAACAUGUAAACUAUCUAUUACAUCCAAUCCCAACUAAUCUGUUACUUUUCCUUUCCCUUUGUCUUUUCCAGACCCUUCUGCCCGAGUCUGCUCAGCUGAAAACAUUUAUGAUAAAACAAGUAUGAGCAUUUAAUUGCUCAGCAAGUAAUAGCAUUCUUUAAGGCUCAACAAGAAAUAAAUAUUUUCUUUAAAGCAUGCUUUGACAGUGAAUCAAAACUGUAAAGCAGUAAAUCUUGAAUCAUUCACAGUUAUGGAAUAUCAUAACAUUGAAUAACUGAGAGGUUUUAAGAACAUGAACAUAUUUUUCUUUUCUUGAAAAGGUUCAAUCAGAAAUAUUAUCAGAUGAACCGUCUUAUCUUACGAGCACGUAGCGUGAUAAACCAUUUAUGCCCUGUAUUGAUCAAUACUAUCUUUUCCAGAACAAUUUUCAUGUUCUACAUCACCACUCCUAGAGUGCAAUAAAAAUAUCCCAUUUAAGGGUAUGUUCAUUCUCAGUUUUAGAUUCCAACUACAACAAUAUAGCUGGACAGCUUAAAUCAUGGCAAAAUAAUAUUUCAAGACUUAUAUAAAAAAUUGAAAUAUUUUACAUCUGUGUCUGGCCAGAAGGAAUGGCUCAGGCUCCUUUGCAACCUGCUCAUGCAUAUUGAAUUUCAUUUGAUAUACAUGAUAAUACAUUACCCAAUCUAUUGAAGCUAAUUGGAAUAAAAAGAUUAUUCAAUCUUAUAAUAUUCGUAAAUAAGGAAAGACAGUUCAGAAUUUAAAGAAUCUGUCCACAUAUGAAUAAUCUCAGAAUACUUGCUCAAUAAAGAGUAAGAUUUAGAUACUUGCCUUGUUUGUAGACUAUUUGUAUAAUUUCAGCUUAACUUGUGUAUCCUCACAGAUCCUACACAAUUAUUUGUAUUCAUAGGCAUAUUAGCCAAAUAGCUAAGUCAUAUAGCUUGUAAGUUCACGUAUCACAUAUUCACAGUGAUCAUACUUUUAGUUUAUAUUCUCAUACUUGAGAUAUUUCUUUACAUUUUUCAAAUAUUUCUUUAUAUUUUUCAAAUAUCUCAUCCAUGUUCUUACUGCCUUUUCUUUCUGUUAAAGGGUCUGACAUAAUUUCUGCUCAUUGAUUUUAGUUCAUGUUUCUUUUACUUCUUCCAUUUGUCAUAAGUAUACUUUGCAAUUUUCCUUAGAAUUAGGUAUUCAAGGUGAAUACCUAAGAUAUUUUAUGUUUGAAAAGGUAACUUGAUAGCAUAUCUUAUACAUCAAAGGUAAUUUCCAUUUGUAUGGUUAUUCCUUGGUAUUUUUUUAUGAUUUACAGACUCAUUCUGAUAUGCCAUUUCGUUAAUAUUAGCUUGUAUUCUUUUACAAAACAGUCAUUAUUAUAGCUGCUAAUCAACAGCUGUUACUGAUCAUUCUAUUUGUUAUGGUUACUGGUAUCAUCUAUAUGUUGCCACCACUAAGCAGCAAAUCCCUCCUUUGCUGCCCAUCUUAUUUAAGUUAUGGUUUUAUUAUAUAUUAUGUAUAUUUUCCCUUUUUGAAAUUCAGAAGUUAAGAGUUACAAGUAAACUCUCAAAUUACAACACAUAGCAAAAAAAAUGACUUACCAAAGCAGUAAUAGCAGCUGCUCGCUGCUGCUCACUGCUGUUAUUAUACAGCAGUCCCUUUUCCCCAAUCCCUUGUUUUAAGAGAUCAAAAUUCUCACCGUUUUGGCCCAUGUGUUGUUACAUUUUGAAUAUCAAAUUGGUGGUGUACUCACCCCUUUAAGAAAAUAUUAGCCAACUGAUAUGGGUUACUACUAUUUAACAUCCAUAUGAGCAAGAAAGACCUCUUUUGUGUUGCCCAAAACAGUCACCUACUGUUGCCGUUAGGCAGCAGCCCCCCUUUCUUAACCACUACCUUGUUAAACUUUUAUUCCUUACAUUCUUGAUUUGUUUAUAUGAAGUUUUGAAAAUAAUAUAAUUGAUACUUCCACACUAAGAUAAUCUAUUGAGUCAACUGCUGCUGCCCAUAGGCAGCAGCCCUUCCAGUGCUUUGCCCAGCCUUAACCCCUACAUUAACGACCCCUUUACACUAUGUUUUGGACAUUACCCAACUGGUAUUUACACUUAUUACAGAGAAAUACCAGCUGGGCUGUUUUAGAAAUUUAUCUACACUAAAUGAGAGUCCAAGGAAGCCCCCAUCUGAUGCCAUAAACAGACAUGGCUGCCACCGUGGGCAGCAGCCCUGCUCUUAUUUAAUGCCAUUUUUUGGCAACCAUUUGGUAAAUUAGUCACAACCUUUUAUCAAAAAUAUUUACAUAAUACACCCCACCUUAAAAUAACAUGCAAUCUAUAAUCUCUACAAAUAAUAUGCAAUCAACUUGGUGGCUGCCCCAAAACAGUGAGUAAAAGUGUUUGUUAAAUUCUAGCAUUUAAGUUUAGCUUAAAAAAAAUAGUUUUCAUUCCAUUUUACAGGACACAACCCUUUACUUACCCUCAAGCAUGGUAUAUAUAUAUAACCCAUGCUUUAAUUCUAACGAAUAAGCAAUUGUUAAGCAAAACAGUUCAUUGAGGAAUUUUAUCAAACACUUUACAGGCACUGUUUCGUAACACAAGUGUCAUAGCUAUUUAUUUUCUUUAAAAAUCCCAGUUUAGUUCCCUUAUUACUCCACAACCACCUAUCUCCUUGUGCCUAAAUUAUAUACAUAGCAGUCGAUUACACAAUCACAUGAAUAAUCAAGUAGUUGACAAUCUAAUUAGCUUAUUUUCUUCAUAACAUGCAAUUCUUUUGAGAAACACAUACCUAUACUAAAUAGAAAAAUCCCACUGUUUAGCAUGCUAUCCCCGAAUGGUUACACUACUAUAUAAAAUCAAAUCGGUAGCACACCUUCCCACUCAACCCGUAGCAAUUCCCAUAACCAUUAAGUAGUGCAUAUAAAACAUUUUAAAGUAAAUAUAUAGCAAAGAUGCAUUACCUUUCUAAGCCUUGAUUUCCGAAUUAGUUGGUUGCAACCCAAACACUUCUGAGUUUCUCCCACUUGAUAGCGUAACCUUCCUUAGUUAUCAGAGCUUUCCCAAACUAACAGAACAUAAAGCGUCUACCAGAUUUUUCUUUUAACAACAAAGAGCCUAUUACUUGAACAUGAACUGGAGAAGGGUUAUAUGAUAUCUAAGUUCUGAUAUCUUUAACAGAGAUCUACACUUCAAGGAGUAUAUACGUGGUUAAUACGUUUGUAGGCUAACUGAGUUGUUAAUGCUAGGUUUCUGAUUAAAUGCCAGCUCAUGCUAAACUAAUAGAUCAUUUCCUGAUUAAAAGCCACGUAUCCCACAUUAAGCUGAGUUUUAAUUUUCUACUGUUAAGCUUUAAUUCUUAAGGCUGUGUUUGGGCAAGAAAAUAAUAAUUACCUCCCUUUCUGUACUUAUUGCACCACUUAUAACGUAUUUUAGAUAUACCAAAAUGCAUUUCAAAAUUUUGAAUAAAAUAUCUAUACAUCAUUUCCAUCAAAGUAGAGGGUAUUUAUUAAAUAUAAUAAAUAUUAAUUAUUAUACUUGACAUAUCACCACAUCACAUAUUACACUGCACAUGAUAAUAUCAUAACACAUACUGAAGUAUAUAUAUGUAAACAAAAUAUUCCAGAAAAAUCUUAUUUUAUUUACUCAAGAAAAAUGCGAUUCCCUACAUUUUCCCUCCCUUAUAAAGAUUCCGUCCUCGGAAUCGAAAAGUACAAUUACCCGAACAAAUGCGGAUAAUUCUUUUCAUUCUUUCUUCUAACUCCCACGUUGCUUCUUCAGCGCUGUAGUUUCUCCACAAUACCUUUACUGAAGGUAUUGUCUUAUUUCGCAAAAUUUGUUCUUUCCUAUCCAAUAUUUGCACAGGAACCUCUUCGUAGGUUAAAUCUUUCUCAAAUUGGAUAGGCUCAUAUUCAAUCACAUGUUUAUAAUCUGGCUUGUAUGGUCGUAAAACUGACACGUGAAACACGUUAUGAACAUGCUCUAGCUCCGGAGGUAAAGCUACUUCAUAAGCUAUCUCUCCCACUUUUCUCAAAACUUCAAACGGUCGUAUAAAACGAGGACUUAACUUUCCCUUCUUUCCGAAACGUAUUUUCCCUUUUCAAGGAGAUACUUUCAGAAACACAUGCGAUCCGACUUCAAAAUCUCUUUUCUGUCUGUGCAAAUCUACAUACUUCUUCUGGUGAUCUUGAGAAGUUAUUAAUCGCAUUCGUAUCAACUUAACUACUUCUGCAGUUUGUUGUACUAGUUCGGGACCUAGUAGACGACGUUCGCCCACUUCAUCACAACACAAGGGUGUUCUGCAUUUUCUUCCAUACAAUGCUUCAUAAGGCGGCAUGCCUAUACUAGCGUGAUAGUUGUUGUUACUUGUGUAUCCUCACAGAUCCUACACAAUUAUUUGUAUUCAUAGGCAUAUUAGCCAAAUAGAUAAGUCAUAUAUCUUGUAAGUUCACGUAUCACAUAAUCACAGUGAUCAUACUUUUAGUUUAUAUUCUCAUACUUGAGAUAUUUCUUUACAUUUUCAAAUAUCUCAUCCAUGUUCUUACAAUCGCCUUUUCUUUCUGUUAAAGGGUCUGACAUAAUUUCUGCUCAUUGAUUUUAGUUCAUGUUUCUUUUACUUCUUCCAUUUGUCAUAAGUAUACUUUGCAAUUUUCCUUAGAAUUAGGUAUUCAAGGUGAAUACCUAAGAUAUUUCAUGUUUCACAAGGUAACUUGAUAGCAUAUCUUAUACAUCAAAGGUAAUUUCCAUUUGUAUGGUUAUUCCUUGGUAUUUUUUUAUGAUUUACAGACUCAUUCUGAUAUGCCAUUUCAUUAAUAUUAGCUUGUAUUCUUUUACAAAACAGUAAUUAUUAUAGCUGCUAAUCAACAGCUGUUACUGAUCAUUCUAUUUGUUAUGGUUACUGAUAUCAUCUAUAUGUUGCCACCACUAAGCAGCCACCACUAAGCAGUAAAUCCCUCCUUUGCUGCCCAUCUUAUUUAAGUUAAGGUUUUAUUAUAUAUUAUGUAUAUUUUCCCUUUUUGAAAUUCAGAAGUUAAGAGUUACAAGUAAACUCUAAAAUUACAACACAUAGCAAAAAAAAUGACUUACCAAAGCAGUAAUAGCAGCUGCUCGCUGCUGCUCACUACUGUUAUUAUACAGCAGUCCCUUUUCCCCAAUCCCUUGUUUUAAGAGAUCAAAAUUCUCACCGUUUUGGCCCAUGUGUUGUUACAUUUUGAAUAUCACAAUGUGAACAUUCUUUUGUUUUACUGUUUACAUAGUGCAAGGUUGUAAAUUAUGAUGUUAUAUAUUCUUCUUUUCUGUUAUUUAUGAUGAUUAACUAUGUCUCUCCUCUGUUUUCUUGUUCUUUUGGUUGUGGCAAGUGAUACCCAGAACACAAUUUUGUUUGUUUUCUCUAUGAUUGUUGUUUGCUUCUAUUUCUUGUUGUUCAUGUUUACAUCAGUGCGUUGUGGCACUUGGCUAGUGUUCUUCUUCUUUUUUAAAUCAGAUCAUACUACUUGUAUUAAUGGUUUAAGGUGGGGAUUGGAUAGAUUUGUUCCCCUUUGUAAGUCUUGUACCACAUUCUGCAUAGAAAUGAAAGAGGUGUUGAUUCAUUCUUUAACACUGAGCUCACUUUUUAUUCCUUUUGUCAUGGCAUCUCCUAUUCCUAGAUAGUCCCUCCGUUUUGGGGGGGAAAAAGAGACCUCAUUUGCAAAAUAUAUAAAUAUUACUGUAUUUUUAGUACUGCUAACCUGAUAAUGAAAUUAGGAAAAAUAAUUUGAGGAAUUCUGUAUUUUUUUAAACCUUUAGUUUUUGGGGUGGAGGGAGUAUCAAGUUAUUCAACUAAUACUCUUAGAAAAAGAGUCGGUUUUUUUCUUCUUGUUUUUCAAUUUCAUCUAAAACAGCCCCACUUCCUUUGUAUUUUUUUCUCAACAUACAAAGAACUUAUAAAGACAUAAAGAGACAACACAUAAAGACCAUGCUCUCCUUUUUACAGUCUUACUUAGUGAGUUCAGAUUUGAAAUUUGAAGGUUUGAGGUUUAUGCUUUAAUUAUUGUAUGUACAGAAACCUUUGUUGAUAUAACCAAUGAAGGGGUUUUAAUUUUAAAAUUGCAUAUUCUUAAUUUUGUUCUCUUUGCUUGGAAGGUACAUCAAUAUGGAUUCUCAAAUUGAUAAUGCAAGCAUGGAUAAGCCAAAAGUUAGAAAGGCAGAAAAUUAUACUGUAGCGGAAGACCUCAUUAUAAUUGCGGCAUGGGAGCAUACUAGUGAGGAUGUGGUGAUUGGAACUGACCAAGCCAAAGAACAAUAUUGGACUAGAGUAUGGAGAGAGUACUUGUCGAAUGCAAGCAGCUAUCCAUAUCGACCAGAGAAAUCAAUAAUCAACCGAUUCAGCAUUAUCAGGACUAAAUGCUUGAAGUUUUCUGGGAUUGUUCAAAGCAUUGAGUAUGCGAAUCCGAGUGGAAUGACUGACCAAGACAAGGUAAAAUUUCCUUUAUUAUAAUAAUCACUUUAAUAUAUAAAUGAUAGUUUCAUAUUUAUUAUUUUGACAUAUUGCACAAUAUUUUUAUAGCUUAAUCAAGCCAUUAAAACAUGGUCUUCAGAGGAGAAGGAAAAAGGUGUUUUCAAGUUUUUACACUUAUCAAGUGCUCAAGAAUUCUCCAAAGUGGAUUACAGAAGUGGUGCACCCCAAUUUGAGCCGAAGUGUAGCUGCAUCAGAUUCGAUCAAUUUAGGAGACGAUGCGAGUGCCUCUGGUCAUGUAGAAAUGGAAAGGCCAAUUGGUAAGAAGGCCGGUAAAGAGCGACGGAAGAACAAAAAAAUGAAGGUGGAAGAUAGUGAAGAGUCUCAAACCAGCAUUCAUUUCGAAAAGUCACAAGAUUUAAUGCAAAAAUUUCAUGAUCAGAAGAUGGAUGUCAUUUUCCAGGAUAGCAAAAAAAUGGAUGAAUAUCUACAGUUGAAGAGGGAGAAACUUGAACUUGAUAGGGAGCAUAAAGAGGAGAAGGUUAUGACUAUUGACAUGUCUAGCUUGAAUGAGAUGCAGCGAAAGUACAUUGAAAUGAAACAAGCAAAGAUCUUUGAAAGAGCGUUUAACAAGUAGACGAUUUAGUUGUCCUAUCUAACUUUCUAUGGACUUGUAGCAAUUUUAGUGUGUUUCUGUUUCUUUAGGUUUACUAAAAUUUCAAUAUCUCUCGACUUGUAUUUUUUGAAGUUUGUUUGGACUUAUGGUAAUUGAAGUUUCUUUGGACUUAUUUUAACCUACAAUUACUUUACGAAAUUUUAUUAUGAUAUUAUAUAAAUGCUUGACAUUAUAUUUAAACAAAAAACUUGAACUUGACAUUACAUUCAAAAAUUCAAACAGAACAAUAGAACUUAAACAUUUAUUAUAUAAGCAGAAACACAAUUACUCAACAUUUUCGUGCCUUUCCCAUAGAUGCUCAAUUAAGUCUUCUUGAAGACGACGAUGCAUAAUUUUAUCUUGUAACUUUUCACGUCCCGCAAUGAAUUGGUUAUAAUCAAAGUGUUCAUACCCGCAAUCGACUAUUGGAGAGGAAAUUUCUUCAAAUAAAUAAUAGUUACCUUUCUCCAAUGACUUGUAUAGGUCACGCUCGUCUUCUACAAUCAUGUUAUGCAUUAUAAUGCAUGCCUUCAUGAUAUUCUUCAAUGUUGCUAACCUAAAAUACCUGCAAGGUUGCCGAAUUAUAUGAAAACGUGAUUGGAGAACUCCAAAUGCACGUUCCACAUCUUUCCGUGUAGACUCUUGAGCACUUGCAUAAUUUUUUGCCUUUUGAGUUUGUGGCAUUUGGAUUGUUUUUGCAAUAGUAGGACCAUUUUGGAUAGAUACCAUCCGCCAAAUAAUAUCCCGUAUCGUAUUGAUGAUUAUUGAUGAUAAAGUUCACUGACGGAGCACGACCAUUAAUAACAUCUGCAAAGAUAGGAGAACGUUCAAGAACAUUGAUGUCAUUGAGUGAACCUGGAAGGCCGAAGAAAGUAUGCCAUAUCCAAAGAUCACGUGAGGCCACUGCCUCUAAUAUUACUGUUGCAUCACCACAAUGGCCCGAGUAGUGACCCUUCCAUCCACUUGGACAAUUUUUCCAUGUCCAAUGCAUACAAUCAAUGCUGCCAAGCAUUCCUGGGAAUCCACGCUCCUCAUGUAGUAAAAAUAACCUACUUACAUCGUUGGCAGUAGGUGACCUCAAGUAUUAAUCACCAAAAAUAUUAAUCACUGCUUCAACAAAUUUUUUCAUUGCCUCAUUUGCUGUGCUUUCUGCAAGCCGAAGAUACUCAUCCACCAAAUCACCAGAAACUCCAUAACACAACAUUCUGAGUGCUGCAGUAACUUUUUGUAAUGAAGAUAAGCCCUCUGUGCGUGCAGCAUUUCGACGUUGCACAAAAUAUUCAUCAUAAGCCAAAACAGCAUCAUGAAUGCGGAGGAAUAAAUUACGACUCAUGCGAAAUCGUCUUCGAAAUAGUCUGUGAGGAAAUGUCGGGGUUGGGGAGAAGUAAUCUCGUACCAAGUUUUCAUGGCCCGUCUUACGAUCACGAUCGAUGUAAACAUGACCGAGAACAGAACCUCGAUGUGUCUUCGCUUUGCCUUUUCUCUCUGAAAUUUCUCCUUCCAUGGUUAAACAAUUUUCAUGCAGAACCUCUUGUUCAGUAGAGUCAAGUUAAAGAUGUUGAUGCCUUCUUCGAAAAAACUGAAACAUUUAUGAUGUUAGAAGUAGGAGAAGAAUGCUAAAUUGAAAUGACCGUUGCACUUUUUGAUUUCUAGCAACAUCUAUUUUUAAAUUAAAAUAAUAGCAUUUUUUAAAUUCAAACAUCAAUUAUUUUUAACUAAAAAAUAGUUACAACGGUCAAAACAUGUUUUAAUUGUUGGAACUUUCAAAUUUUAAAUUUUAAAUUUUAAAUUUUAUUAUUUAAGGAAUCAAUAUAAGGAAUCUGUUGGGUACAUACUGAAAAAAUUAAAUCCCUAUCCUGCAGAAUGACCCAAUAGCACUGCAGAGUAGGGAUAAAGAUAAGGAAACUGUUGUAAAUGCUCUAAGCCUUGAUUUCCGAAUUAGUUGGUUGCAACCCAAACACUUCUGAGUUUCUCCCACUUGAUAGCGUAACCUUCCUUAGUUAUCAGAGCUUUCCCAAACUAACAGAACAUAAAGCGUCUACCAGAUUUUUCUUUUAACAACAAAGAGCCUAUUACUUGAACAUGAACUGGAGAAGGGUUAUAUGAUAUCUAAGUUCUGAUAUCUUUAACAGAGAUCUACACUUAAAGGAGUAUAUAUGUGGUUAAUACGUUUGUAGGCUAACUGAGUUGUUAAUGCUAGGUUUCUG